rnacentral:rRNA from 1 species
CCUACGGGAGGCAGCAGUGGGGAAUAUUGGACAAUGGGGGGAACCCUGAUCCAGCGACGCCGCGUGAGUGAAGAAGUAUUUCGGUAUGUAAAGCUCUAUCAGCAGGGAAGAAAGAAAUGACGGUACCUGACUAAGAAGCCUCGGCUAACUACGUGCCAGCAGCCGCGGUAAUACGUAGGGGGCAAGCGUUAUCCGGAUUUACUGGGUGUAAAGGGAGCGUAGACGGCGAUGCAAGUCUGAAGUGAAAGGCGGGGGGCCAACCUCCGGACUGCUUUGGAAACUGUAUGGCUGGAGUGCAGGAGAGGUAAGUGGAAUUCCUAGUGUAGCGGUGAAAUGCGUAGAUAUUAGGAGGAACACCAGUGGCGAAGGCGGCUUACUGGACUGUAACUGACGUUGAGGCUCGAAAGCGUGGGGAGCAAACAGGAUUAGAUACCCCUGUAGUC